CGAGCGGUAGAGAGAAGCUUGCUUCUCUUGAGAGCGGCGGACGGGUGAGCAAUGCCUAGGAAUCUGCCUGGUAGUGGGGGAUAACGUUCGGAACCUGACGCUAAUACCGCAUACGUCCUACGGGAGAAAGCAGGGGACCUUCGGGCCUUGCGCUAUCAGAUGAGCCUAGGUCGGAUUAGCUAGUUGGUGAGGUAAUGGCUCACCAAGGCGACGAUCCGUAACUGGUCUGAGAGGAUGAUCAGUCACACUGGAACUGAGACACGGUCCAGACUCCUACGGGAGGCAGCAGUGGGGAAUAUUGGACAAUGGGCGAAAGCCUGAUCCAGCCAUGCCGCGUGUGUGAAGAAGGUCUUCGGAUUGUAAAGCACUUUAAGUUGGGAGGAAGGGUUGUAGAUUAAUACUCUGCAAUUUUGACGUUACCGACAGAAUAAGCACCGGCUAACUCUGUGCCAGCAGCCGCGGUAAUACAGAGGGUGCAAGCGUUAAUCGGAAUUACUGGGCGUAAAGCGCGCGUAGGUGGUUUGUUAAGUUGGAUGUGAAAUCCCCGGGCUCAACCUGGGAACUGCAUUCAAAACUGACUGACUAGAGUAUGGUAGAGGGUGGUGGAAUUUCCUGUGUAGCGGUGAAAUGCGUAGAUAUAGGAAGGAACACCAGUGGCGAAGGCGACCACCUGGACUAAUACUGACACUGAGGUGCGAAAGCGUGGGGAGCAAACAGGAUUAGAUACCCUGGUAGUCCACGCCGUAAACGAUGUCAACUAGCCGUUGGAAGCCUUGAGCUUUUAGU
rnacentral:rRNA from 1 species